rnacentral:rRNA from 1 species
AUUGAACGCCGGCGGCAGGCUUAACACAUGCAAGUCGAGCGGAGAGAGGUAGCUUGCUACUGAUCUUAGCGGCGGACGGGUGAGUAAUGCUUAGGAAUCUGCCUAUUAGUGGGGGACAACAUUUCGAAAGGAAUGCUAAUACCGCAUACGUCCUACGGGAGAAAGCAGGGGACCUUCGGGCGUUGCGCUAUCAGAUGAGCCUAGGUCGGAUUAGCUAGUUGGUGGGGUAAUGGCUCACCAAGGCGACGAUCCGUAACUGGUCUGAGAGGAUGAUCAGUCACACUGGAACUGAGACACGGUCCAGACUCCUACGGGAGGCAGCAGUGGGGAAUAUUGGACAAUGGGCGAAAGCCUGAUCCAGCCAUGCCGCGUGUGUGAAGAAGGUCUUCGGAUUGUAAAGCACUUUAAGUUGGGAGGAAGGGCAGUAAGUUAAUACCUUGCUGUUUUGACGUUACCGACAGAAUAAGCACCGGCUAACUCUGUGCCAGCCGCCGCGGUAA